GACGAACGUUGGCGGCGUGCUUAACACAUGCAAGUCGAACGGAAAGGCCCUGCUUUUGUGGGGUGCUCGAGUGGCGAACGGGUGAGUAACACGUGAGUAACCUGCCCUUGACUUUGGGAUAACUUCAGGAAACUGGGGCUAAUACCGGAUAGGAGCUCCUGCUGCAUGGUGGGGGUUGGAAAGUUUCGGCGGUUGGGGAUGGACUCGCGGCGUAUCAGCUUGUUGGGGGGGUAGUGGCUUACCAAGGCUUUGACGGGUAGCCGGCCUGAGAGGGUGACCGGCCACAUUGGGACGGAGAUACGGCCCAGACUCCUACGGGAGGCAGCAGUGGAGAAUAUUGCACAAUGGGCGGAAGCCUGAUGCAGCAACGCCGCGUGCGGGAUGACGGCCUUCGGGUUGUAAACCGCUGUCGCCUGUGACGAAGCGUGAGUGACGGUAAUGGGUAAAGAAGCACCGGCUAACUACGUG
rnacentral:rRNA from 1 species